AUUGAACGCUGGCGGCAUGCCUUACACAUGCAAGUCGAACGGCAGCACGGGAGCAAUCCUGGUGGCGAGUGGCGAACGGGUGAGAAAGUAUCGGAACGUGCCCAGUCGUGGGGGAUAACGUAGCGAAAGUUACGCUAAUACCGCAUACGAUCUAUGGAUGAAAGCGGGGGAUCGCAAGACAUCGCGCGAUUGGAGCGGCCGAUAUCAGAUUAGGUAGUUGGUUGGGUAAAGGCUCACCAAGCCGACUAUCUGUAGCGGGUCUGCGAGGACGACCAGCCACACUGGGACUGAGACACGGCCCAGACUCCUACGGGAGGCAGCAGUGGGGAAUUUUGGACAAUGGGCGCAAGCCUGAUCCAGCCAUGCCGCGUGCAGGAUGAAGGCCUUCGGGUUGUAAACUGCUUUUGUACGGAACGAAAAGGUUUGACUUAAUACGUUGGACUCAUGACGGUACCGUAAGAAUAAGCACCGGCUAACUACGUGCCAGCAGCCGCGGUAA
rnacentral:rRNA from 1 species